GUUGAAACACUGGUUCUUGUAUGAUCCCCAAAGUUAAGCAACAUCAAGCUUGGUCAGUACCUAGAUGGAUGACUGCUUGGAAAUACCAGGUGGUGCAA